rnacentral:lncRNA from 1 species
CCUCCAGCUGGUAUAAUAAUAACUCCACUACCAUAGACGUCCCCUCCUCCAGCUGGUAUAAUAAUAACUCCACUACCAUAGACGUCCUCUCCUCCAGCUGGUAUAAUAAUAACUCCACUACCAUAGACGUCCCCUCCUCCAGCUCCCACAGAGUAGGAGUGUAUCUGGACUGGUCAGCCGGCACUCUGUCCUUCUAUAGAGCCUCCUCUGACACACUGACCCACCUGAUCACAUUCACAUUCACUGAGCCCCUCUAUCCAGGAUUUAUGGUUCAUUAUGUUGACUCCUCAGUGUCCCUGAAAUAAUAACUGGACACACACACACACACACACACACACACUGAACACACACACACACACUGAACACACACUGAACACACACACACACACACUGAACACACACACACACACACUGGACACACACACACACACACACACACACUGAACACACACUGAACACACACACACACACUGAACACACACACACUGGACACACACACACACACUGAACACACACUGAACACACACUGAACACACACACACACUGAACACACACACACACACUGGACACACACACACACACACACACACACACUGAACACACACUGAACACACACACACACAUCAACACACACACACACUGAACACACACACACAUGAACACACACACACACACACUGGACACACACACACACACUGGACACACACACACACACACACACACACUGGACUCCACACACACACACACACUGGACUCACACACACACACACUGGACUCACACACACACACUGGACUCACACACACACACUGGACUCACACACACACACACACACACUGGACUCACACACACACACACACUGGACACACACACACACACACUGACACACACACACACACACAUGGACACACACACACACUGGACACACACACACACACACACACUGGACACACACACACACACACACUGGACACACACACACACACACUGGACACACACACACACACACUGGACACACACACACACACACACUGGACACACACACACACACACACACACACACACACACACUGGACAAACACACACACUGGACACACACAAACACACACACACACACACACACACACACACACUGGACACACACAAACACACACACACACACACACACACACACACACACACUGGACACACACAAACACACACACACACACACACUGGACAAACACACACACACACACACACACACACUAGACAAACACACACACACACACACACACACACACACUGGACUCACACACACUGGACACACACACACACACUGGACACACACACUGGACACACACACACACACACACACACAUACACACACAGGACACACUCUCACACACACACACACAUGCGCAUCUUCCUAUAAUUGUGAGGACCUUGACCCACGACCUCUUACAAUAACACCGUUAGUCUUUCCACAAGACUCCCAUGACGUUAUAGUGUGACGUUAUGAGUCGACGUUAAAGUAACAUUCUCACAACGUACUGCACUUGUUUUAUCCUGUUUUAGAUGUAUCCUCUGUUUAAACAUUUAAACUCUUACAAUAACACUGUUAAAAUACCAAUGUGAUCAUUUCUUGUCUUUUAUGUUGGAAAAACAAAUUGUACAAUUAUAUGUGGACAUACGCUCCAUAGUUGUACAAGUAUACAUGGAUAUAUUGUACUUUUCAUAAUAAAACAUACUUGAAACAAGAAAAAGCAUGUUAAUUGUGAAAACAAUUUCGUUAUUGAUUUUUACAUUGCUUCUCCC